GGAUGAGAUCAAACCAGUGCUAACGUAUCGAAUCUUAUCAAAACUCCAAAGUUAAGCGUGCUUGGACGAGAAUAGUGCUAGGAUGGGUGACUCUCUAGAAAGUUCUCGUGUUGCAUCCC
rnacentral:rRNA from 1 species